rnacentral:lncRNA from 1 species
UAUCGGAAAAAUCCAAAAACGUGUUGCCUUAACUUAGCGCUUGUGGGUCUCUCUUUUAUCCUCUGACAACUUAUCAUAGUGCAAAAAUUCUACAAUUAGAUCCAUCCAUCUCGGUUCCAGCUUGGUGUUGCAUAUUAUGAACUCUUGAUGCGUUUGGUAGCUGGGUACCGAGACCAAAUCCACUGCGAUAAUUUGACCAUUACCUCCUUCAAAAAUUGACACCAAACGUGUGCGUGCAUCCUCGUGUGAAUUCAAAUCUCUCCCCACUUGCUCGAUUUUUACAACUCAAAAUUCCCUGAAGAAAGGCUUUGCCACUACCAAGUAUUUUUUCAUUUUGGCUCCCCAGACUUCAAACUUUUCGGUGACCUGAUUGACCACCAGCUUUUAAUUGAUGAAGAUAUGGAGCUCGAGAACCAACAACUUCUUGGCAGAUCUCAAUCCUAUUAUGAAUGCUUCACAUUUUGCUUCAUUAUUCGUUGUAGGAAAAUUAAGCCUAAGGCAGUGCUCGAAGACCCCUUCGGGGUUUUUUAGCACCACUCCUGUGACUAGGCUAUUUUUGGCCCCAUCGAUGUACAUCCUCUAGUCCUUGGAUUGAUCAAUUUGAGAUGGUUCUUCAAGAACCUUGGGAACGUCAAGGGUAUUCUCAGUCGCAGGUGUUAUUUCGACCACUACUGAUAUUCCUGUCGAGCUCUCUUCCUCUCUGUAUGUAGAUAUGGGAUAACCCGGUUCUGGGUUCUGGACUCACAGUUGAAGGAGAGAACUCUGCAAUAAAAUUAGCCAAGACCUGGCCCUUAAUCGCUGGCCUUGGAAGGAACUAAAUAUUGUCCGAGUUUUACAUCCCAUUUGGCUAGUCUCUUGGACAAAUAUGCCUUUAUAAGCAUGUUCUUUAAGGGGAACUCGGUAUAUAAUGCAAUUGGGUGAGCUUAGAAGUAGUGCAUGAGCUUUCUAAAAGUAAUUAUCAAAGCCAGAACGAGCUUCUCCAGCGGCAAGCACCCCAUUUGGAAAUCUGUAAACCUCUUGUUAACAAAGUAGAUCGGGGGUUGUUUCCAUUUACCUCCCUCAAUAACACCAAGCUAACAGCGUGUUUAGAGACUACGAGGUAGACGUAGAGAAGCUCUACCUCAUCCGGGAUGAAAAAAAGUGGUGGCUUGAUCAAGUACUCCUUGAACUGUUAGAGCACAAGCUCAUACUUGUCUUUCUAAACAAACUUGGUGAUUUUGCGAAGGAGUUGAAAAAAUGGGCAACACUUGUCAGAAGACUUACUACUGAAAGGGUUAAGCGCUGCCGCCAUUCUAGCUAGCUUUUGAACCUUAUUCAAAAAACUUAGACUCUCUGGGUCUUUAAUGGCCAUAAUUUGUUAUGGAUUCGCCUCAAUUCCUUACCAGUGACUAAAAGCCCUAGGAAUUUGUCCAAGCUAACUCCGAAGACGCACUUAGCCCGUUCAAUCUCACCUCGGCGAAGUCCUUUAUAUGGUCCCGUUCUUCUUUGUUUUUAUAAUCAUAUCGUCAAUGUAGGCAUCCAUGGUACUCCCCAUUAGACUCCCAAACAUCUUGGUGAUCAUUCUCUAGUAGGUAGCCCUAGCAUUCUUCAGCCCAGAGGGUAUGACCUUGUAACAAAAAAUGCCUCAAUGGGUAAUGAAGCUGGUCUUCUCUCGAUCCGACUCGUGUAUAACUAUCUGGUGGUAACCUCGGUAAGCGUCUAGAAAGCUCAUGCGGGCAUGGCUCAAUGUUGAAUCCACCAACUGGUUGAUCUUUGGCAAGGGAAAUCAUCCCUUUGGACAAGCUCAGUUGAAGCUUGUGAAAUCGACACAUUCUCCACUUGCCAUUUUUCCACUUUACCAUCACUGUAUUGGAUAAUAAAAUUAGAUAAAGAACCUAAGUUAUUACACUUGCCUCCUUUAGCUUCUCGACCUCCUUUAUCACUGUGUCCACAUGUUUUGUCGUAGAUCUUCUCCCACGUUGCUUCACAGGCUUAGCUUUGGGAAUGACAUUGAGCUCGUGCUUGAUGACAUUUGGAUCGAUCCUCAACAUCUCGUAUGGCGUCCAUGCAAAGACUCGAUGUUUGAAUUUAGGAACUCGAUGAGCUCGGUUCUCUCUCGCUCUUUCACGUUCGAGCUAAUGAAAAAGUAGCAGUCUGAGCUUAGCUCAUCGAGCUCAUAGUGAAUUACUCGACUACUUUGUCUUCUAGGGUUUUGCCAACAUCUUGCAGCACUUCCCUCCCCUCUUCUACAAAUUGCACUUCUUUCUUUUGACAUCGUAACCGUGGAUCCACAACUGACCAAGGGAUUGUUAUUGAGGUGCUAGACUCACGCAAGAUCUAUCUUGGUAAAUGUGAUGCUUAUUGGCUCAAAUGAGCCUUACCGUGGCUUAUAGCCGUUGGUUGGACCGAGAGGACCUCGUUUUUUUGUUUGACAAUGCAUAUUUCCCCCUAUUCUUAAGCUCGGGGUCAGGUGGACCCCCGAUCAUGUGAAUAGUUCUGAUGGGGAAAACUUCCUCCAAGG